AAUGAACGCUGGCGGCGUGCCUAACACAUGCAAGUCGUACGAGAAAUCCCGAGCUUGCUUGGGAGAGUAAAGUGGCGCACGGGUGAGUAACGCGUGGGUAACCCACCUUCGAAUCUGGGAUAACUCCGCGAAAGCGGUGCUAAUACCGGAUAAGACCACAGCCGUUUCGGCGGCAGAGGUAAAAGCUGACCUCUCCAUGGAAGUUAGCGUUCGAGGACGGGCCCGCGUCCUAUCAGCUUGUUGGUGGGGUAAAAGCCUACCAAGGCAGCGACGGGUAGCUGGUCUGAGAGGAUGAUCAGCCACACUGGAACUGGAACACGGUCCAGACUCCUACGGGAGGCAGCAGUGAGGAAUUUUGCGCAAUGGGGGAAACCCUGACGCAGCAACGCCGCGUGGGUGAAGAAGGCUUUCGGGUCGUAAAGCCCUGUCAGGUGGGAAGAACCGUUUCGAUACUAAUAAUGUCGAAGCCUGACGGUACCACCAGAGGAAGCACCGGCCAACUCCGUG
rnacentral:rRNA from 1 species